UACGUAGGGGCUAGCGUUGUCCGGAUUUAUUGGGCGUAAAGAGCGUGUAGGCGGCCAGGUAGGUCUGCUGUGAAACUCGAGGCUCAACCUCGAGACGCCGGUUGAAACCAUCUGGCUAGAGUCCGGAAGAGGCGAGUGGAAUCCUGGUGUAGCGGUGGAAUGCGCAGAUAUCAGGAGGAACACCGAUGGCGAAGGCAGGUCUCUGGCCACUACUGACGCUGAGAAGCGAAGCAUGGGAGCGAACAGG
rnacentral:rRNA from 1 species